ACACAUGCAAGUCGAACGGUAACAUUUCUAGCUUGCUAGAAGAUGACGAGUGGCGGACGGGUGAGUAAUGCUUGGGGACUUGCCUUUGCGAGGGGGAUAACAGUUGGAAACGACUGCUAAUACCGCAUAAUGUCUUCGGACCAAACGGGGCUUCGGCUCCGGCGCAAAGAGAGGCCCAAGUGAGAUUAGCUAGUUGGUAAGGUAACGGCUUACCAAGGCGACGAUCUCUAGCUGUUCUGAGAGGAAGAUCAGCCACACUGGGACUGAGACACGGCCCAGACUCCUACGGGAGGCAGCAGUGGGGAAUAUUGCACAAUGGGGGGAACCCUGAUGCAGCCAUGCCGCGUGUGUGAAGAAGGCCUUCGGGUUGUAAAGCACUUUCAGUUGUGAGGAAAAGUUAGUAGUUAAUACCUGCUAGCCGUGACGUUAACAACAGAAGAAGCACCGGCUAACUCCGUGCCAGCAGCCGCGGUAAUAUGGAGGGU
rnacentral:rRNA from 1 species